GCUGCCCCUAGAGGAAUUGCAGGUGUGCUUGCUGUGUCACAUGUGCAUCCAUAGGUGACAGAGAGGAGCAAGGCCAUGUCUAUGCUCAGAGAUCUUACCUACGAAUAUCUGAAUGAAUCCUACCAUAGCAUU